rnacentral:lncRNA from 1 species
AGGUGCCUCCAGCCCCAAAAUAGUGACGAGAUGGUUGGGGCAUUUUCUUCAGAUGGAGACUAGUUUUUCAUCCUUUUUAUAUUUAUUUUUGGUGCCUUCUCCUUGGCAAACUUCUAUAAAUAAAUUUUUAGUUAAUAAAGUAUAUUUUCAUUAUGUUUAUAUCUCACAUGAAGUCUUUUGCUUCUUUAUUAUGCUGGUA